CCUACGGGUGGCUGCAGUAGGGAAUAUUGCUCAAUGGGGGGAACCCUGAAGCAGCAACGCCGCGUGGAUGAUGAAGGUUUUCGGAUUGUAAACUUCUUUUGUUAGAGAGGAUAAUGACUGUAUCUAACGAAUAAGCACCUGCUAACUCCGUGCCAGCAGCCGCGGUAAUACGGAGGGUGCAAGCGUUAAUCGGAAUCACUGGGCGUAAAGAGCGCGUAGGCGGGUUAGCAAGUCAGAUGUGAAAUCCUCGGGCUUAACCAUAGAACUGCAUUUGAUACUGUUAUUCUAGAGUAUGGGAGAGGUAGGUAGAAUUCUUGGUGUAGGGGUAAAAUGCGUAGAGAUCAAGAGGAAUACUGAUUGCGAAGGCGACCUGCUAGAACAUAACUGACGCUGAUGCGCGAAAGCGUGGGGAGCAAACAGGAUUAGAUACCCGAGUAGUC
rnacentral:rRNA from 1 species